AGUAAAAACUCCUGGGGCCGUAAGUACAUUUUCUUACAGAAUUCUGGUGUACGUGGAGACUCUAGGAUUUGCGUGUGCAACACAUGAUUAGGAUUUAUCAAACUGUCGCACGUAAACAUCCACAUAUUUUCAUUUACGAAUCAGAGUCAUACUACAUUUGUAAGGUUGUGAACGAGCUCCACAACCACGACUGGAAAAUGCCCUCGAUUCACUUUAAACAAUUUUUCUUAACGAUAUUUGAAGGAAACCAGAUCAAAGUAUGAAAUCAGAUCAAAGCAAAAACCAUUUUGUAGAAGCAAAAUGGCUGUUGCUUUUACAUUGAUCAAGGUUGAUCAUAAAGUUACUGGCCCCCUCCCCCGUGUUAAAUAACAUCACCUUAACUCUCAUUUUAAUACAGAAAUGGUAACUCGAUAUUCUCUUAUCUAAUUUAACUAAGUACCACUUUGUAACCAACAUCGAAAAAGGCGUGUUUGCAGAGGGGAGUUGUUUACAUAGCUAGAUUGCCAAAAUGUUACUGUCGGGUGUUAGCAAAUAUUAACAAUUUCCCCUUUCAUAUGUGUCUGGUGUUAGUUAGUUACUGGCUAGCUAGGUCUUCAUCUGUGUCUGGUGUUAGUUAGUUACUGGCUAGCUAGGUCUUCAUCUGUGUCUGGUGUUAGUUAGUUACUGGCUAGCUAGGUCUUCAUCUGUGUCUGGUGUUAGCUAGUUACUGGCUAGCUAGGUCUUCAUCUGUGUCUGGUGUUAGCUAGUUACUGGCUUGCUAGGUCUUCAUCUGUGUCUGGUGUUAGCUAGUUACUGGCUAGCUGGGUCUUCAUCUGUGUCUGGUGUUAGCUAGUUACUGGCUAGCUAGGUCUUCAUCUGUGUCUGGUGUUAGCUAGUUACUGGCUAGCUAGGUCUUCAUCUGUGUCUGGUGUUAGCUAGUUACUGGCUAGCUAGGUCUUCAUCUGUGUCUGGUGUUAGCUAGUUACUGGCUAGCUAGGUCUUCAUCUGUGUCUGGUGUUAGCUAGUUACUGGCUAGCUGGGUCUUCAUCUGUGUCUGGUGUUAGCUAGUUACUGGCGAGCUAGGUCUUCAUCUGUGUCUGGUGUUAGCUAGUUACUGGCUAGCUAGGUCUUCAUCUGUGUCUGGUGUUAGCUAGUUACUGGCGAGCUAGGUCUUCAUCUGUGUCUGGUGUUAGCUAGUUACUGGCUAGCUAGGUCUUCAUCUGUGUUAGCUAGUUACUGGCUAGCUAGGUCUUCAGCCAGCAUGGAACAAGAGGGUCUUUCAAAACUCAGACGCAGUUAUCAAGUCAACACAUAAGUCAGUGCUGUGGUGAACCGCAUCAUGCUAAAUGGGAGAUGUAUAAAAAAAAAGUAUAUAGUGCCUUUGGAAAGUAUUCAGACCCCUACACGUUUUCCACAUUUUGUUACGUUACAGUCUUAUUCUAAAAUUGAUUUAAAUUGUUUUUCUCGCCAUCAAUCUACACACAAUACCCCAUAAUGAUAAAAAAAACUGAAAUAUCACAUUUACAAGUAUUCAGACCCUUUUCUCAGUACUUUGUUGAAGCACCUUUGGCAGCAAUUACAGCAUAGAGUCUUCUUGGGUAUGACAAUACAUACUUGGCACACCUGUAUUUUGGGGAGUUUCUCCCAUUCAUCUCUGCAGAACCUCUCAAGCUCUGUCAGGUAGGAUGGGGAGUGUUGCUGCACAGCUAUUUUCAGGUCUCUCCAGAGCUGUUCGAUCGAGUUCAAGUCCGGGCUCCAGUUGGGCCACUCAAGGACAUUCAGAGACUUGUCCCAAAGCCACUCCUGCGUUGUCUUGGCUGUGUGAUUAAGGUCGUUGUCCUGUUGGAAGGUGAACCUUGGUCCCAGUCUGAGGUCCUGAGAGCUCUGGAGCAGGUUUUCAUCAAGGAUCACUCUGUACUUUGCUUCUUUCCCUCGAUCCUGACCAUUCUCCCAGUCCCUGUCGCUGAAGGGAUGGUGCCAGGUUUCCUCCAGAUGUGACGUUUGGCAUUCAGGCCAAAGAGUUCAAAUCUUGGUUUCAUCAGACCAGAGAAUCUUGUUUCUCAUGGUCUGAGAGUCUUUAGCUGCCUUCUGGGCUGUCAGGUGCCUUUUACUGAGGAGUGGCUACCUUCUGGCCACUCAACCAUAAAGGCCUGAUUGGUGGAGUGCUGCAGAAAUGGUUGUCCUUCUGGAAGGUUCUCCCAUCUCCACAGAAGAACUCUGGAGCUCUGUCAGAGUGACGAUUGGGUUUUUGGUCACCUCCCUGAUUGCUCAGUUUAUACAGGCAGCCAGCUCUAGGAAGAGUCUUGGUGGUUCCAAACUACAAACCUGUAUUCACUUUGUCAUUAAAGGAUAUUGUCAAAUCAAAUCAAAAUGUAUUUGUCACGUGCGCUGAAUAUAACAAGUGUAGACCUUACAGUGAAAUGCUUACUUACAGGCUCUAACCAAUAGUGCAAAAAAAGGUAUUAGGUGAACAAUAGGUAGGUAAAGAAAUAAAACAGUAAAAAGACAGGCUAUAUACAGCAGCAAACCUAUAAAAGUAGCGAGGCAACAUACAGACACCGGUUAGUCAGGCUGA